rnacentral:miRNA from 1 species
GUGGGUGUUUGCUUUUUCGGUGAAG